rnacentral:rRNA from 1 species
UACGUAGGGGGCUAGCGUUGUCCGGAAUCAUUGGGCGUAAAGCGCGUGUAGGCGGUCCGGUAAGUCCGCUGUGAAAGUCGGGGGCUCAACCCUCGGAUGCCGGUGGAUACUGUCGGGCUUGAGUACGGAAGAGGCGAGUGGAAUUCCUGGUGUAGCGGUGAAAUGCGCAGAUAUCGGGAGGAACACCUAUGGCGAAGGCAGCUUGCUGGGACGGUACUGACGCUGAGACGCGAAAGCGUGGGGAGCAAACAGG